rnacentral:misc_RNA from 1 species
CUUAGUUAAUCAUGUUUUUUUAAAUAAAUUAAUCUUUAUUGAACUUUUAAGAAAUUGUUGAAAUUAAGGUUAAUUACAAGAUUUGCAAGUAAUUACAUUCUCAAAAUUUAUUCAUUCACUUUCAGAAUAACGUAUUGAGGGAAAAUGGGUAAAAGCUUUAUCACAACAAUUGACUCCAAAUCAGUUUUGUGUGAGAAGCACUUUCGCGAAGAAGAUAUUAAGAAAAUUGAUCGAUUGAUUAUUAAUGGAGCUGAAAUUAUCAUCCCUCGCGAAAGGUGGACUCUUUUGAAUGACAAUGUCAUUCCAAUAAACCCUCACGAUUUGGAAAAGGACAUUUCUGAAGAGCAAGUUCCAAUAGUGCAAAAUGACAUUAAUAACUGACCAAUCGAAAAACCUGGAUUAUACACAACCCUUGUUAAAAAUCGUUCAAGGUAACAAUUUAAAAGAAGAUUCUCAACCAGCAGGACCCCAUCAUAUGGAAUCACCAGAGAUUGUAACAGCUAAUAAUGUAAAAGACUUAGAUAUUAUUAUGUUUAUCAUAUUGUUAUAGAUUUGCGAGAUUUUAAUAUUUUUUUGUACAUAAAUUUCAACAUUAGGUCAUUAUCUCGAACAUGUGUGAAUACCUGUAAAUGGCUUAGUCGAAAUGUACAUUUUGUACUCAUUUAAUGUCUUAUGUGCUGUUGGUGUUCCAAAUAAAAUAAAAAAAAAUAAAAAAAAAAUGUCUCCACCAUCAUGUGUUACACUAGAAGAGAUCCAUGCUCAUUUUCACUCAAUACUGAUCCAAGGAUGGUGUUAUUUUGCUUGUGAUGAAGAGUUGAUAUUAUAUAAGAUAUGAAUUUUACUAUUUCCAAUAAUCUUUCAGUGAAGGUAAAUAAUUUUCUCAUGCUUUUUUGAAUAAUUUUAUCUAUUCAUAAUGCAUACAGAGCAUUUUAUAAAAUUUAUUAAGUUUUGCUCACAUAAUCAUUUCUGAUACAACAGGUUUCUUUCUCUCAACAACCAGAAAUUGUUAUUGAUACUACAUCAUCUAUAGAAGAUAUAAAAAUGUAUAUGGAAACUCUGCAAGCGACUAUUUUAUGUAAAGGAACUGACAUACACUAUAGGUACGAUAUAUUUUCUUUCAUUUCUUUUAAUAUAAAUAAAAAUCUCAUACUAUUACACAUUCGGUGAAAAUUGAAAAUAAACUUAAAGAUUCACCUAAAUCGAGGCUCCAUCUAGAACUGUAACACCUGAAGUAAAAACAAGCAUCAAGUACAUCUUUUAGUAGUAGUGUGAAAAGAAAGAAAGUAUCUACAUUACCUUUAAAAAAUUCCAAAUCAUCUUGUAAGUCAAUAGAUAUGUGUUUUAGGUAGCAGAUUUUUUUUGUAAUUAUCUAACUGUAUGCAAAUGAACUUG